rnacentral:rRNA from 1 species
UACGUAGGUGGCAAGCGUUGUCCGGAUUUACUGGGCGUAAAGAGCGCGCAGGCGGUUGGAUAAGUCGCGUGUGAAAGCCCCCCGGCUCAACUGGGGAGGGUCACGCGAUACUGAUCGACUCGAAGGCAGGAGAGGGUAGUGGAAUUCCCGGUGUAGUGGUGAAAUGCGUAGAUAUCGGGAGGAACACCAGUGGCGAAGGCGACUACCUGGCCUGUUUCUUGACGCUGAGGCGCGAAAGCUAGGGGAGCAAACGGGG